CAGCAGCACACUUCUAUGCUGGGUGGCCAUCCGUUCGGUAGCUUUGUUCGGGAAACAACAGUCAUUCGUAUGGCUGGGCUAUAGGAAACAGCCAUUUACAUGAAGGGGCAGGAAAUAGACGAAUCCACCACAAUAGACAGACGGAUGGUUCUGUCACACAGCAAUUAACUCAAUUAUCUCCCAAGCAGAGGGGAGGAAUUUACUGUAACGAAUGGGAGUGUUUAAC